ensembl:lncRNA
GCAGAUGACACUUACCAAAAGCAGAUCAGAACAUGAGAAGGCCUUUUGCUCUUGGAGGUUCUGUUUUUAUAGAGUGAGAUGUAGAUGCAUUUAACGCUCAUAUCCUCUAGUCAGGAUGAGUUAAAUUUUUUCAGGAGAUCUUAGCCUUGGUCACUGCAUUUCUCAGCAAACAGCAUAAUACCUGCAUCUUCUCUUUAAACUGGAGUUGACCUUCCAGCUUCAGCUAGAGCAGUGUUGAGAGGCAUUGGACAGCUGCUAUAUUGCAAAUCAAAGCUGGCUGCCCUUUUCAAUAGGCUUGGCAGUGUAGCCUAGUGCUUUCAGAGAGAGAGUUCAAAGGAUAGCCUUUAGAGUAGCAUAAGAAAUGGUCAGCAAGGAUCAUCUUAUCAUUAAUUGUUGUUUUCUUUUUUUUUUUCCAGAUGCCUUUUCUGAUGACUGGAAAAAAGAAUUUUGGAAACUACCAUAUUCCUUGCUUUGUUGCUUCUAUCUUCCAAAUUCUGCUGCUGCUGAGACAGAUCUCUGCUCUAACAUGGCCAGUCCUAACUCUGGAAAGGCGUAAUCCCUUCCAGAACAAGAUGCACUGCUUUUACCUUGGGAUUCUGUUUCAUUUCAAAGAUUUCUCUUUCAUAUUUGCUAUGGCUGCAUUUCACUGCGCAGUAUGGAUUCGUCUUGUGCUCUCCAGGAGACACCCCCUGCUCGGCACGUUUCUAAUUCGUGGGGAUUGAGGAUAAAUUUCUCCCUGGGAUCUUCCACAGCUCCUUUGAUCAGUCUUCCCAGACCUCUCCCUGAAAUGUGCCAACAGAUCUGGUCCAAGUUAUUAAGAGUAAGUAACAGAGUGAAGUGUGGUCCUUUCAGCCACCUCCACACCCAGGUUUCAGUAUAAAACAUCACUGGUGUGAGUGCAAAGUUAUUCAAGAGAAUUAUAGCAUGACCUGUUUUGUUGCCUAUACUAGAGCUACUUGCUGCUCUAAACCAUGUAUUUCUGCUGUUGCACCCUUCUCAUGGACUUUAUAAACACGGUAGUGUGGCUGAUCCAAACUCCAGGGCUCAUCACUUUAUUGCUAGGGCCAAAUGUGGUUUGAUUCGUUGUGUUUUGCUAUCAGGAAAGUAUCCUGCCCUUAGUGCUGUCUGAGACUGUACUCAUUCUUUGAGAUGGAAGGUCCAUUUUGGACCUGCUACUGACUGCUCAUGCAAAUCUGCUGUCUUUGCAGAGAGUAGAUCUCUGAAUCUACUGACAGUCUUGGCCAAGAGAUAGUCCUGCAUGAUGCUUUUUUUGUUAACGUGAGCUUAUCCUCAUAUAAAAUAGAUGCAAUUGCAGCUGGGAAAUGCCUGUAAAAAUCUCAUCCUGUAAUGCUGCAUCUAAUUUGUUAUCAGGGCUUCUCUGAACAGCUUUGACAGUUAGCUGGAGAUGUGUCACUGACAGCAAGUAACAAAACGUAGCUCUGACACAAGGAAAUAUUAUAAACUUUCUAGAUAAGAUCAGCUUCAGCAGUGAAUCAAUCUAGCCCUAUUGGACCCGGAGAGUAUACAAGAACUAAACUUGUUGCUUUUCUUGUAAGUACCCCUAAAAGGGAUUAAGUUUUUAAGAUUUGGCUACAUGCAUUUCAGAUACUAAUAUGCUGUUUUGGUUCUGUGCCUGAAAAAGAUUUAGUGGAAUUUGGAGAGCAGCUGGACACUAAAGCUUUAGGAGAUGAAGCGUCAAAGCAGGGCUUGUAGUAACCAACAUCCUGUCAGCAUAUCCAAAUGUUCUAUAUUUAACUUACUGUUAAAAUUAUGUUUUGUUAUUUUUUGUCUACUUUCAGCAAAAAAGUUUGGUUUCUGCAAGAUUAGAGAACAAGGCGAAUUCAGUUAAGGCUAUAAAAUUUAUCUCAUUGCUUUCUUUUUCGCUUGCUGUUGAUCUUAGGGCAGCUGUAAGGGCAAAUGGAAAAGAUAGGUAUUAUAUUUCAAAGGCAAAGUUAUGAAAGUCUAAACUGCAUCCAAAGUAUAUUUUACUACUAAUAAUGAGAACUGGAUGAAGAGUGUUUAAAAAAAUAUGAACCUGCCUCAACUACAUUGGUUCAGAAAUAACGAAUCUAAUGCAGUUUUCCAAAGAAUAAUUGAUAUUAUAUAAUAAUAACUGGCAGUUUAUGUCAUGAAAGUGACACUUGACACUUUGCUGCUAACCAGUUUAACAUCAUCAAUUAAAACAUCACUUGUGUAAUGACAUUUUAGUAACCGGUUUCAUAUCAUAAAUUAUGACAUCACCUUCUUUUAUAGCAUCAGGGUUGAAUGAAAGGCUUUCUUUAGAAAAAGGGAAAAAAGGAGGAAAUCUUAACACUGUCUCUCAUUUUGUGCUCAUACAUGGUGUGUAUGUCCUAGCCCUCUGGUCACUCAUUAGAGAGCAUCUGAGAGCUGAAAAGCUGCAAACUGGUGUGAAAUAAACAUUUUAGAAGAAUGUGCUUUGGGUUAGCA